GCAACGCGGUGGACCUGGGCCAGAUGAGCAGCUUCUACAUUGGCCUGUGUUCCCGCCUCCACUGCAACAUUUUCUCCUACCACUACUCUGGCUACGGUGCCAGCUCGGGCAGGCCCUCCGAGACGAACCUCUACGCCGACAUCAACGCCGCCUGGCAGGCCCUGCGCACCAGGUACCGCAUCAGCCCGGACGGCAUCAUCCUGUACCGGCAGAGCAUCGGCACGGUGCCCACCGUGGACCUGGCCUCGCGCUACGAGUCCGCCACGGUGGUGCUGCACUCGCCGCUCACCUUGGACCUGAGCGUCGCCUUCCGGACACCAAGACCUACUGCUUCGACGCCUUCCCCAAAAUCCAGAAGGUGUCCAAGAUCACGCCGCCCGUGCUCAUCUUCCAGGACACGAAAUACGAGGUGAUGGACUUCUCGCACGGGCUGGCGCUCUACCAGCGCUGCCCCAACGCCGUGGAGCCGCUGUGGGUGGAGGGCGCCGGGCACAAAGACAUCCAGCUCUACAGCCAGUACCUGGAGCGCCUGCGCCGCUUCAUCUCCCAGGAGCUGCGCAGCCAGAGCGCCUAG
rnacentral:lncRNA from 1 species